CCUACGGGAGGCAGCAGUGAGGAAUAUUGGUCAAUGGGCGGGAGCCUGAACCAGCCAAGUCGCGUGAGGGAAGACGGUCCUAUGGAUUGUAAACCGCUUUAGGCGGGGAGCAAUGCCGGGCACGCGUGCCCGGAGGGAGAGUACCCGCAGAAUAAGCAGCGGCGAAAUCCGUGCCAGCAGCCGGGGUAAUACGGAGGAUGCGAUGGUUAUCCGGCGUUAUUGGGUUAAAAGGGUGCGUAGGCGGAUUUUGAAGUCAGCGGUAAAAUGUCCGGGCUCAACCCGGGCCUGCCGUUGAAACUGGGGAUCUUGAGUCGGCGUGAAGUAUGCGGAAUGCGUGGUGUAGCGGUGAAAUGCAUAGAUAUCACGCAGAACUCCGAUUGCGAAGGCAGCAUACCGGCGCCCGACUGACGCUGAGGCACGAAAGCGUGGGGAUCGAACAGGAUUAGAUACCCCUGUAGUC
rnacentral:rRNA from 1 species